AGCGAACGCUGGCGGCAGGCUUAACACAUGCAAGUCGAGCGGGCAUCCUUGUGGUGUCAGCGGCAGACGGGUGAGUAACGCGUGGGAACGUGCCCUUCGGUUCGGAAUAACUCAGGGAAACUUGAGCUAAUACCGGAUACGUGCGAGAGCAGAAAGGUUUAUCUGCCGAAGGAUCGGCCCGCGUCUGAUUAGCUAGUUGGUGAGGUUACGGCUCACCAAGGCGACGAUCAGUAGCUGGUCUGAGAGGAUGAUCAGCCACACUGGGACUGAGACACGGCCCAGACUCCUACGGGAGGCAGCAGUGGGGAAUAUUGGACAAUGGGGGCAACCCUGAUCCAGCCAUGCCGCGUGAGUGAUGACGGCCUUAGGGUUGUAAAGCUCUUUUCUCCAGGACGAUAAUGACGGUACCGGAGGAAUAAGCCCCGGCUAACUUCGU
rnacentral:rRNA from 1 species